rnacentral:rRNA from 1 species
UACGGAGGGUGCAAGCGUUAUCCGGAUUCACUGGGUUUAAAGGGUGCGUAGGCGGACAGGUAAGUCAGUGGUGAAAUCUCUGGGCUUAACUCAGAAACUGCCGUUGAUACUAUUUGUCUUGAAUAUCUUGGAGGUAAGCGGAAUAUGUCAUGUAGCGGUGAAAUGCUUAGAUAUGACAUAGAACACCGAUAGCGAAGGCAGCUUACUACAGGAAGAUUGACGCUGAGGCACGGAAAGCGUGGGAAGCAAACAGG